CCUGGACACGAGGCCUGCCCAUGUGCUGAGUCCCAGGAAGGAUGUGAGAACUCAGCUAAGGAGGACCGAGGGACCAAAGCAGGAGCAGGGCUUCCUUCCAACCCGCCCUGCUGGAUCCUUGCCCCUCAGCAGAGCAUACAGAGCCCUGUUCCGCAGCAACUGCAAGGAUGCUGCCAAACUGGCCAGCCUGUCAGCUCCACGGUAUCCUGCAUGUCUAACAGUAGCAAGCAUAGCCUCCCUGAGCCUGUAUUACAUACGUGGAAACCAAGACCUGAGAAGUAGCAACUGGUCCAGAAGGAGCCCUCAGAUGGCAAGAGCGGGAGAGAGCAUCAAGGAGAGAAGGGUGGGGCCUGGUCCAAGACUAUGGAAAAGAGGAAAGAGGUCCUGAAGGCUUCCAGGUGGAGGCAGGACUAGGGCUGGCUCAGAGCCUGCCCUCCAGAAAGAACACUUUUUUCAGAAAACAGAGACAAAGCCUAUUUGUCAGUCCACAUGACUUGAAGCUAGACUGGCAGACAGAAGGAGAGGGGAGUACAUUCCCCCAGAGCAACCACCCUGUCCCCAGCCCACCAAGGCAGUCCUAGUCCCUGCUACCUAAUGAGAAACUAGCUGGGGCAGAUCCCAGGAGAGGCAGAAGAGGGGCGGGGCAGAGCAUCCAAGAGAUGGAGGUGCAAAGACAGACAGAACUAUAGUUAUCUCAGACCUAGGUGGACACAGGGAAGGACAGAGCUGAAGGCUGGACAGAUGGGGCCACUGCACCCCACUCCCGCCAGAGACGGUUCUGCAGCUGCUGAGAGGAGCAGACAGCUGGAAAGGAGCCUGCAAACACAGCUUUGAGAAGAUUUUCAGCAAUAAAACUCAUAUUUGAAAUGAGACUUUGUACAGUGGGGGAGAGAGCCUUCCUGUGGCAAACAUUAAAUCCAGACACUGUAAAGUAGAAAUUUGACAAAUCCAACUACAUAAACAUGUAAAACAUCUGUACGGCAGAAGACACCAUAAACAAUGUUAAAACGCAAGUAAGGCACUGCAAGAAAAUACCACUAAUAUGCAAAGAGCCCCUACAAAUCAAUAAGAAAAAAGACAAAAGAGAAAAAUUGGGAGUGAGUUAGAAAUCCGCAGAGGAAGAACUAAAUUGGCCAAUAAACGUAUGAAAAGAUGUUCUGUCUCACUAGCAAUCAGGCAAAUGCAAAUGAAAACGACACGAUACCAUUUUUUGCCCAUCAGAUUGGGAAAAAUUAAAAUGAUUUAUAACAAGCAAUGCUGGCAAGGAUGAUGGGAAAUGAACACUCACAGACCAUUGAAGGGAGAGAAGUUGGCUCAACCACUGCAAGGGUAAUUUGGCAGUAUUGAUUAACAUUUUAAACCCACACACCCUACAACCUAGUAAUCCCAUUUCUAUCAUCUACAGAGGAGAAAAAAAAAACCAGUGCAUGUACACACAUAAAAAUACUCAAGGAUGCUCAUAGCGGUGUUGCCAGUAAGAGUAGGAAAGAAACUGGAAAUGGCCUAAGUGUUUAUCAAUAAGGAAAUAUUCAAGUAAAACCCAGCACAGCCACACUACGGAAUAUCCUGCAACUCUUCGACAGCAUGAGGCACAGCUGCAUGACAACAGGAGGGAAUCAAGAUGCUCCUUCAGAAUAAUUGUGUUUACAAAUAACAGCCUAUCUAUCCCGGGUGGAGGACGGGUGGAGGACGGCAUGCCAGGCCUCCAGGUGAUCGCCUCUGAGGGGUGGGGCAAAGUAAGACAAGGGGACUUCUAUGGCUUCUCCAUUCCACAAAUGUAGAGUUGGAUUUUCUUUUGUAAUCAGAAAAACAAAAUCAAUAGGGA